rnacentral:rRNA from 1 species
UACAGAGGUUCCAAGCGUUGUUCGGAUUCACUGGGCGUAAAGGGUGCGUAGGCGGUCGGGUAAGUCUGAUGUGAAAUCUCCGGGCCCAACCCGGAAACUGCAUUGGAUACUAUUCGGCUCGAGGUUUGGAGGGGGGACUGGAAUUCUCGGUGUAGCAGUGAAAUGCGUAGAUAUCGAGAGGAACACCCGUGGCGAAGGCAAGUCCCUGGACAACACCUGACGCUGAGGCACGAAAGCUAGGGGAGCAAACAGG